GUGAGUCAUCGAAUCUUUGAACGCACAUUGCGCCCUUCGGUAUUCCGUUGGGCAUGCCUGUUCGAGCGUCAUUUAAACCUUCAAGCAUAGCUUGGUGUUGGGUGCUUGUCCUCCCCCGCGGUGGACUCACCUCAAAUGCAUUGGCGGCCGGUAUGUUGGCUUCGAGCGCAGUACAACGCGCAAGGCGUCUUGACAUGCUGGUCCUCCACAAGACCUUUUUAAGCUUGACCUCGGAUCAGGUAGGGAUACCCGCUGAACUUAAGCAUAUCAAUAAGCGGAGGA
rnacentral:misc_RNA from 1 species